rnacentral:rRNA from 1 species
UACGAAGGGGGCUAGCGUUGUUCGGAAUUACUGGGCGUAAAGGGCGCGUAGGCGGCCAUCCAAGUCAGGCGUGAAAGCCCCGGGCUCAACCUGGGAAAUGCGCUUGAGACUGGGCGGCUAGAGUUUGGGAGAGGCGGGUGGAAUUCCCAGUGUAGAGGUGAAAUUCGUAGAUAUUGGGAAGAACACCGGUGGCGAAGGCGGCCCGCUGGACCAACACUGACGCUGAGGCGCGAAAGCGUGGGGAGCAAACAGG